AAGCUGGCAAAAUGCCCAGAACCGCCAUCACUAGGCCUGGGGUUUUCUUCUGUAGUGGAAUUCUCGUGCUUAUGUAGUACAGGGAGGAGCGCAGCGCAUUUCCGCCAAGACAGGUGAGACUGCAGUUCUGACCUGCGGGCCUCGAUGAAUUGCGUUAGGGCCCCUGGGCGCCGGCAGAGCCGAUCUCCUACACAAAGCAAGCGUGUUAUGUCUACAACCGAACGGGGACACUAAGAAAGAGCCCCAAAGGCCCUGCUUUCAUCCCAAAGAACAGCGCCUGUCUGCGUAGUUUCUACCUUGCUCUAUGAGUGCAUCAGUUUAAGGGAAGACAUGAGAUCAUGGGUUUAAGUGAGGCUUCAUCAUACUAAGACAACGUGAUCAGGUACAAGUCAGUGAUUAAAGUGCAGAACAACUUCCCCAAUACAGGAAUCCAGCUUCGGAAAAUAUCUGUGCUGGAAAACUUGCAAUGGAGGAAUGGAAGACUUGAGAAAGGGAGGGCUGGGAAACAAGAGCUGUGACUCACCCUGAAGACAUUCGUAAAUAUCUAUUUUAAUAUCUAUUACAAUACAGCAAUAAAGGCAAACUAAAAAAGGCUAUACAAGGCAUUUUGCACAUCUUCAUGUACUGGGUUCUCUGAAGCCCAUUUCCUGUUAAUAUCUUUUGCUGGAAGAAUCUUCUCAGGAUCUCCCCUUCUGUCUGUUCCAACCAGACUCCCGUACAUUCAUUUUCGUUCCUCGUGGGUAAUACACCCACUGAGAGACAUGUUCCUUUGCUUUUUUUUUUUCUUCUUAGGGGGUUUCUCCACAAGAUUCCUGGUUGAGUUGAUGGAGUGAAGGUCUGUCUGUCCCCCAAUUUUUUUUUUUUUUUUGGAGACAGAGUCUCACUCUAUCCCGCAGGCUGGAGUGCAGUGGCGCUAUCUCAGCUUACUGCAACUUCCGGCUCUUGGGUUCAAGCAAUUCUCAUACCUCAGCCUCCCGAGUAGCUGGGAUUACAGACGUGCACCACCAUGA
rnacentral:lncRNA from 1 species